rnacentral:rRNA from 1 species
AUUGAACGCUGGCGGCAGGCCUAACACAUGCAAGUCGAACGAGUGGCGGACGGGUGAGUAAUGUCUGGGAAACUGCCCGAUGGAGGGGGAUAACUACUGGAAACGGUAGCUAAUACCGCGUACCAUCGGAUGUGCCCAGAUGGGAUUAGCUUGUAGGUGAGGUAACGGCUCACCUAGGCGACGAUCCCUAGCUGGUCUGAGAGGAGGACCAGUCAGUCGUGAACUGAGCGACGGUACAUACUCCUACGUGAGGCAGAAGUGGGGAAUAUUGCACCAGGGGCGAAAGCCUGAUGCAGCCAUGCCGCGGUGAUGAAGAAGGCCUUCGGGUUGUAAAGUACUUUCAGCGGGGAGGCGUUACCCGCAGAAGAAGCACCGGCUAACGCCGUGCCAGCAGCCGCGGUAAUAC